UACGGAGGGUGCGAGCGUUGUCCGGAAUCACUGGGCGUAAAGGGCGCGUAGGUGGUCUGAUAAGGGUGUGGUGAAAGCCCGGGGCUCAACCCCGGGUCGGCCGUGCCGACUGUUAGACUAGAGUGCUGUAGGGGCAGGCGGAAUUCCGGGUGUAGCGGUGGAAUGCGUAGAGAUCCGGAGGAAGACCGGUGGCGAAGGCGGCCUGCUGGGCAGUUACUGACACUGAGGCGCGACAGCGUGGGGAGCAAACAGGG
rnacentral:rRNA from 1 species